GUCCCAAGGGUAUGGCUGUUCGCCAUUUAAAGUGGUACGCGAGCUGGGUUUAGAACGUCGUGAGACAGUUCGGUCCCUAUCUGCCGUGGGCGUUUGAGAAUUGAGAGGAGCUGCUCCUAGUACGAGAGGACCGGAGUGGACGAACCUCUGGUGUUCCGGUUGUGAUGCCAAUUGCAUUGCCGGGUAGCUACGUUCGGACAGGAUAACCGCUGAAAGCAUCUAAGCGGGAAGCCCCCCUCAAGAUUAGUUCUCACUGGGACUUAGAGUCCCCUGAAGAGCCCUCGAAGACUACGAGGUUGAUAGGCUGGGUGUGUAAGCGUUGUGAGGCGUUGAGCUAACCAGUACUAAUUGCUCGUGAGGCUUGAUCAU
rnacentral:rRNA from 1 species